rnacentral:rRNA from 1 species
GACGAACCACACAAACGUUAUUCGGAAUUACUGGGCUUAAAGGGUGCGUAGGCGGCGUGGAAAGUUGGGUGUGAAAUCCCUCAGCUUAACUGAGGAACAGCGCCCAAAACUACCAUGCUCGAGGGAGAUAGAGGAAUGCGGAACUUAGGGUGGAGCGGUGAAAUGCGUUGAUAUCCUAGGGAACACCGGUGGCGAAAGCGGCAUUCUGGAUCUCUUCUGACGCUGAGGCACGAAAGCUAGGGUAGCAAAC